AACCGCCGGCCGCCCCGAGCUGCGUCUCCCCGGCCCCAUCCCCGUCCCCGCCCGGCCCCCAGCGGGUGCCCGCCCGGCGCCCUCUAGGCUGGAAGGCUGCUGGAGCGCUACCGGUGCCACCACUGCCAGAGCGGGAGGAGCGCGGCGCGGGCCAGCCAGGACUGCUGGACAGCGGGGUCCAGGCUAGAGGGGAGCGGUCCACCUCCUAACAAAUUAUUGGAAGGCAUAUGAGAAAAAAAUGCAGAGUCUCACCAUGUUGCUCAGGCUGGUCUCAGACUCCUGGACUCAAGCCAUCCUCCUGUCUCUGCCUCUCAAAGUGCUGAGAUUACAGGUGUGAGCCACUGUGCUCGGGUUAAAGUGUAAGUCUUGUUGAUGCUAUAUCUAAGACACAUCCCAGAUCUGUCCAUCACCUACUACUGCAGAUGAAGUCACUGUCAUUUCUUGCUCUCAGUCCUAUAAUAGCUUCCUAAUUUUCUGCUUCCUUUCUUGCCACCCUAAAACCUAUUCUCCACACAAUAGCCUGACUGAUUUAUUUGUUAUUAUUUUUGAGUCAGAGUCUCGCUCUGUUGCCCAGGCUGGAGUGCA